GAUGAACGCUGGCGGCGUGCCUAAUACAUGCAAGUCGAACGAACAGACAAGGAGCCUGCCCCUUUGCCGUUAGCGGCCGACGGGGGAGGAACAACUGGAUAACCUACCUAUAAGGCUGGGAUAACUUCGGGAAAACGGAGGCUAUAACGGAAAAUAUCUUGAUCCCGCAUGACAAAUAGUGAAAGAGCGCUUUGGCGUCACUUAGAGAUGGAUCCGCGGCGCAUUAGCUAGUUGGUAAGGUAACGGCUUACCAAGGCAACGAUGCGUAGCCGACCUGAGAGGGUGAUCGGCCACACUGGAACUGAGACACGGUCCAGACUCCUACGGGAGGCUGCAGUAGGGAAUCUUCCGCAAUGGGCGAAAGCCUGACGGAGCAACGCCGCGUGAGUGAUGAAGGUCUUCGGAUCGUAAAGCGCUGUUAUUAGGGAAGAACAAAUGUGUAAGUAACUAUUCACGUCUUGACGGUACCUAAUCAGAAAGCCACGGCUAACUACGUG
rnacentral:rRNA from 1 species